CGAACGGUAACAGGAAGCAGCUUGCUGCUUCGCUGACGAGUGGCGGACGGGUGAGUAAUGUCUGGGAAACUGCCUGAUGGAGGGGGAUAACUACUGGAAACGGUAGCUAAUACCGCAUAACGUCGCAAGACCAAAGAGGGGGACCUUCGGGCCUCUUGCCAUCGGAUGUGCCCAGAUGGGAUUAGCUAGUAGGUGGGGUAACGGCUCACCUAGGCGACGAUCCCUAGCUGGUCUGAGAGGAUGACCAGCCACACUGGAACUGAGACACGGUCCAGACUCCUACGGGAGGCAGCAGUGGGGAAUAUUGCACAAUGGGCGCAAGCCUGAUGCAGCCAUGCCGCGUGUAUGAAGAAGGCCUUCGGGUUGUAAAGUACUUUCAGCGGGGAGGAAGGUGCUGAGGUUAAUAACCUCAGCAAUUGACGUUACCCGCAGAAGAAGCACCGGCUAACUCCGUGCCAGCAGCCGCGGUAAUACGGAGGGUGCAAGCGUUAAUCGGAAUUACUGGGCGUAAAGCGCACGCAGGCGGUCUGUCAAGUCGGAUGUGAAAUCCCCGGGCUCAACCUGGGAACUGCAUUCGAAACUGGCAGGCUAGAGUCUUGUAGAGGGGGGUAGAAUUCCAGGUGUAGCGGUGAAAUGCGUAGAGAU
rnacentral:rRNA from 1 species